rnacentral:rRNA from 1 species
GUACACGCUGUGACUAGCAUAUCAAUAAGCGGAGGAAAAGAAACUAACAAGGAUUCCCCUAGUAACGGCGAGUGAAGCGGGAAGAGCUCAAAUUUGAAAUCUUAAAGGGUUUCCCUUUACGAAUUGUAGUUUAAAGAAGUGUUUUCUGUUGAGGUUUUGGUAAAAGUUCUUUGGAAUAGGACAUCAUAGAGGGUGAGAAUCCCGUAUUUGACCUUUACUUUCAACUUUAUGAUACACUUUCAAAGAGUCGGAUUGUUUGGGAAUGCAGUCCAAAAUGGGUGGUAAAUUUCAUCUAAAGCUAAAUAUUGGCGAGAGACCGAUAGCGAACAAGUACCGUGAGGGAAAGAUGAAAAGAACUUUGAAAAGAGAGUUAAACAGUACGUGAAAUUGUCAAAAGGGAAGCGUUUGACACCAGUGUUGUUUUUCUGAAAAUCAAUUAAAGAACUGUUUAUGCUAAGUUGUUUAGACUUUAUCAGCUAACUGUUUAGUUUUGAGCUUUUCUUUAAUGCACUUUUCAGUUAACAAGUCAACAUCAAUUUCUUUUGCUGUAAAAAAGCUUGAGGAAGGUGGCUUGAGAUUCGUCUUAAGUGUUUAUAGCCUCUUGCCUAUGCAGUCGGAGAGAUUGAGGUCUGCAGCGUAGAUCCUUCGGGGCUAAAUGCAUUUGUGCUAAGUUAUAGCAUUUCAUAGACAACUUGUUGACUAUGAUUUGUCUUGUAGCUUACUCGCUUAUGUUAUUUUACCUACGCUUAGGAUGUUGACAGCAGUAUAGACUGU